UCUCUGUGGGAAAGCAGGCAAACGAUCUCUGAUAGGGAACAUGUUGCUGUCUUCAUUAUCAAUCAUAUGAUGCAAACCAAUCUCAGGCUUCUGCAUGCUUGUGUAUGGACAGGAGCACAUAGCGCCUCCAGCAAAUCGUAUCCAAUUACCCUGACUGCGUUACGCUUCACCUCUACUGAUACAACCCUCCACUGCUGACUAAAGAGCCUAGCAACUGACACACGCCCCCUCCGACACGUGUGCAGUACCGACUGCCUCUUUUCACCUGCACCAGGUGCCAUCAAUCAGCCAGCAGAGGUCAUAAUUGCAUCAGUUAUGAGGAUCCCUGGUCCGGCUCAUCCCACCCUGAACAACAGCCAAUCGUUGUUCAUGUGGCCACCAAGCCUAGCCGGAUGACAGAGCUGAUUUGUGCCCACUUUUAUUGCACUCUACAUAGAAUAAAUGUAGCUUACUUAAUGGUAAAUGAAGUGAGAUUGGAGAUACAGCCACAGACAGUAGUG